UCUACGGGUGGCUGCAGUGAGGAAUAUUGGUCAAUGGACGCAAGUCUGAACCAGCCAUGCCGCGUGCAGGAUGACGGCUCUAUGAGUUGUAAACUGCUUUUGUACGAGGGUAAACCCCGAUACGUGUAUCGGGUUGAAAGUAUCGUACGAAUAAGGAUCGGCUAACUCCGUGCCAGCAGCCGCGGUAAUACGGAGGAUCCGAGCGUUAUCCGGAUUUAUUGGGUUUAAAGGGUGAGUAGGCGGUUUGAUAAGUUAGGGGUGAAAUGUCGGGGCUCAACCCCGAAACUGCCUCUAAUAUGGUGGGACUAGAGAAGAGUGGGGUUAGGCGGAAUGUAUGGUGUAGCGGGGAAAUGCUUAGAGAUCAGACAGAACACCGAUUGCGAAGGCAGAUUACCAAACUAUAUCUGACGUUGAGGCACGAAAGCGUGGGUAGCAAACAGGAUGAGAGACCCCGGUAGUC
rnacentral:rRNA from 1 species